AAUUGAUUAGUCAAGAUGGCCUAAAUGGAAAUACAGGAAGAGUGAAAUGUGCGUCAGCUCGAGAUAUGAAUAUAUAUAUAUAUACCUAGAGCCUCUAAGUUACCUCGACAGCUUCCUAGUUAACUAAAACAUUUAGUUGAUAAGGCAACAGAUACAUCUGAGAACAUCUAAUCUGACCCAUGAAGGGAUCAACUAUUUGUUGUUACAAGGAUAUGCUAGGGUCUCGGGCUGUUAUUCGUGGUGCACUGCCAACGGUGUGCUGCAGUCUGAAGCCUUGAGUCUUGGGCUCACGGGUUGGGACGCGCGAGAAUUGCAGUCUUUCUGUUUAACUGUGAUCUUGAACAAACUGCUUCAAUUUCCUCCAGGGCUGAUCUGCACAGAGAUGCCACAAAGGAUGUUUCUGCUGCUCUCUUAGAGAUUAAUCAGGAAGAAAGCCCAGUGUAAGACUUUGGUCUGGUUAAAGGCUUUUGUUGUUAUUGUUCUUUGGUCUUCAUUCUUUCUUGCUUAUUUGAAAAUCUCAUGUAACCCUGACUGUUCUCAAAUCCAUUGCAUCAUGCUAGGAUUGUAUCCAAUUUCAUAUCCUCCCAUUAUG
rnacentral:lncRNA from 1 species